rnacentral:rRNA from 1 species
CACAUGCAAGUCGAGGGGCAGCGGGAAAAAGCUUGCUUUUUCGCCGGCGACCGGCGCACGGGUGCGGAACGCGUAUGGAACCUGCCCCUGUCAGGGGAAUAGCCCAGGGAAACUUGGAUUAAUGCCCCAUGGUAUCGUUAUAUCGCAUGAUAUUACGAUUAAAGAUUUAUCGGACAGGGAUGGCCAUGCGUACCAUUAGUUAGUUGGUGAGGUAACGGCUUACCAAGGCAGCGAUGGUUAGGGGCCCUGAGAGGGGGAUCCCCCACACUGGUACUGAGACACGGACCAGACUCCUACGGGAGGCAGCAGUGAGGAAUAUUGGACAAUGGGCGGGAGCCUGAUCCAGCCAUGCCGCGUGCAGGAUGACGGCCCUAUGGGUUGUAAACUGCUUUUAUACGGGAAGAAAUGCGCCCACGUGUGGGCGUCUGACGGUACCGUAAGAAUAAGGACCGGCUAACUCCGUGCCAGCAGCCGCGGUAAUACGGAGGGUCCGAGCGUUAUCCGGAAUCAUUGGGUUUAAAGGGUCCGUAGGCGGGCCUGUAAGUCAGGGGUGAAAGUUUGUGGCUCAACCAUAAAAUUGCCUUUGAUACUGCAGGUCUUGAGUCAUGGUGGGGUCGCCGGAACAUGUGGUGUAGCGGUGAAAUGCAUAGAUAUCACAUAGAACACCGAUCGCGAAGGCAGGUGGCCAACCAUGUACUGACGCUGAUGGACGAAAGCGUGGGUAGCGAACGGGAUUAGAUACCCCGGUAGUCCACGCCGUAAACGAUGGAUACUAGCUGUGGGGACUUCGGUCUCCGUGG